AUUGAACGCUGGCGGUAUGCCUAACACAUGCAAGUCGAACGGCAGCACAGUAAUAGCUUGCUCUGACGGGUGGCGAGUGGCGGAUGGGUGAGGAAUACAUCGGCAUCUACUUUUUCGUGGGGGAUAACGUAGGGAAACUUACGCCAAUACCGCAUACGACCUACGGGUGAAAGCAUCGGAUCUUCGGACCUUGCGCGAUUCAAUGAGCCGAUGUCGGAUUAGCUAGUUGGCGGGGUAAAGGCCCACCAAGGCGACGAUCCGUAGCUGGUCUGAGAGGAUGAUCAGCCACACUGGAACUGAGACACGGUCCAGACUCCUACGGGAGGCAGCAGUGGGGAAUAUUGGACAAUGGGCGAAAGCCUGAUCCAGCAAUACCGCGUGGGUGAAGAAGGCCUUCGGGUUGUAAAGCCCUUUUGUUGGGAAAGAAAAGCAGCAGGUUAAUACCCCGCUGUUCUGACGGUACCCAAAGAAUAAGCACCGGCUAACUUCGUG
rnacentral:rRNA from 1 species